rnacentral:rRNA from 1 species
AGAGUUUGAUCAUGGCUCAGAUUGAACGCUGGCGGCAUGCUUUACACAUGCAAGUCGGACGGCAGCACAGAGAAGCUUGCUUCUUGGGUGGCGAGUGGCGAACGGGUGAGUAACAUAUCGGAACGUACCGAGUAAUGGGGGAUAACUAAUCGAAAGAUUAGCUAAUACCGCAUAUUCUCUGAGGAGGAAAGCAGGGGACCUUCGGGCCUUGCGUUAUUCGAGCGGCCGAUAUCUGAUUAGCUAGUUGGUGGGGUAAAGGCCUACCAAGGCGACGAUCAGUAGCGGGUCUGAGAGGAUGAUCCGCCACACUGGGACUGAGACACGGCCCAGACUCCUACGGGAGGCAGCAGUGGGGAAUUUUGGACAAUGGGCGCAAGCCUGAUCCAGCCAUGCCGCGUGUCUGAAGAAGGCCUUCGGGUUGUAAAGGACUUUUGUCAGGGAAGAAAAGGCUGUUGCUAAUACCGACAGCUGAUGACGGUACCUGAAGAAUAAGCACCGGCUAACUACGUGCCAGCAGCCGCGGUAAUACGUAGGGUGCGAGCGUUAAUCGGAAUUACUGGGCGUAAAGCGAGCGCAGACGGUUACUUAAGCAGGAUGUGAAAUCCCCGGGCUCAACCUGGGAACUGCGUUCUGAACUGGGUGACUAGAGUGUGUCAGAGGGAGGUAGAAUUCCACGUGUAGCAGUGAAAUGCGUAGAGAUGUGGAGGAAUACCGAUGGCGAAGGCAGCCUCCUGGGAUAACACUGACGUUCAUGCUCGAAAGCGUGGGUAGCAAACAGGAUUAGAUACCCCGGUAGUCCAA